GACAGAGGAUGCAAGCGUUAUCCGGAAUGAUUGGGCGUAAAGCGUCUGUAGGUGGCUUUUCAAGUCCGCCGUCAAAUCCCAGGGCUCAACCCUGGACAGGCGGUGGAAACUACCAAGCUGGAGUACGGUAGGGGCAGAGGGAAUUUCCGGUGUAGCGGUGAAAUGCGUAGAUAUGUUACAGAACACCAAUUGCGAAGGCAGCUUACUAUGCGAUGAUUGACGCUGAGGCACGAAAGCGUGGGGAGCAAACAGG
rnacentral:rRNA from 1 species